rnacentral:rRNA from 1 species
AUUGAACGCUGGCGGCAGGCCUAACACAUGCAAGUCGAGCGGCAGCGGGAAAGUAGCUUGCUACUUUUGCCGGCGAGCGGCGGACGGGUGAGUAAUGCCUGGGAAAUUGCCCAGUCGAGGGGGAUAACAGUUGGAAACGACUGCUAAUACCGCAUACGCCCUACGGGGGAAAGCAGGGGACCUUCGGGCCUUGUGCGAUUGGAUAUGCCCAGGUGGGAUUAGCUAGUUGGUGAGGUAAUGGCUCACCAAGGCGACGAUCCCUAGCUGGUCUGAGAGGAUGAUCAGCCACACUGGAACUGAGACACGGUCCAGACUCCUACGGGAGGCAGCAGUGGGGAAUAUUGCACAAUGGGGGAAACCCUGAUGCAGCCAUGCCGCGUGUGUGAAGAAGGCCUUCGGGUUGUAAAGCACUUUCAGCGAGGAGGAAAGGUCAGUAGCUAAUAUCUGCUGGCUGUGACGUUACUCGCAGAAGAAGCACCGGCUAACUCCGUG